rnacentral:rRNA from 1 species
UACGUAGGUGGCGAGCGUUGUCCGGAUUUACUGGGCGUAAAGAGCGCGCAGGCGGUCGUACAAGUCGCGUGUGAAAGCCCCCGGCUCAACUGGGGAGGGUCACGCGAUACUGUUCGACUCGAAGGCAGGAGAGGGAAGUGGAAUUCCCGGUGUAGUGGUGAAAUGCGUAGAUAUCGGGAGGAACACCAGUGGCGAAGGCGACUUUCUGGCCUGUUCUUGACGCUGAGGCGCGAAAGCUAGGGGAGCAAACGGG